rnacentral:misc_RNA from 1 species
UUGCCUGUGUAUUUUUUCAGUAAACCUAUUCGUCUAUUUUUUGGUUGGCUGCGUCUUGAGAUUGUAUUGUGAGCCUUGUGUUAUGCUACAGAACAUACAUGACGCACCUCUUCUUAUUUCAAUGCUUUGAUUUGAUCAUUUCACUUCCUUCUUCUGCUACUGCACCUUGCUCUUCUCUCUUCCUUCGCUCCACCUCCUCUUUUGGUCUCUUCUACAAUGCCAUAAUCUCACCAAUAUAUUUGUAACGUAUGCUUCUCACAAGGUUAUCACAGGCUCUACUAAAGAUGAAGCUGGGGUUCUACUGAAGAUGAAGCUGGGGACUUUCUAUGGGUUAUUAUUUUGGCAGCCCAAGUGCAAUUGUUCUAAGUCCUUGGGAUUGUACUAACAAGUUGGCUGUUUUAUGAGAAUCUUGGCAUUAACAAAAUUAAGUUGUUUUAUGAAGAAGAAUUUUGGCACCAACAAAUUUAUCUAUCUGCGCCAAUCAAUAUGAUAUAAAAAAUUUAAUUUUUUUUAUUACAAAAUAAUUAGCUCUAAUAUGCCAUGGUCACUGCAGAGUUUUGGGGAGAAUUCUAACAUUGCCAUUGAGCAAAAAUUCACAAGUUAAGCUUCUAAAGCAAACCAUUACCUGCUGCUGGAUUUUAUAACAGCUGCUUCCAUCGAUAUUGCUUCUUCACUGUAUGUGCAUCACAGUAAACGGCAAAUUUCAAAAGCUGAGGAAAGUUAACCCACUUCUGUUUCAGAAAUUGCCCAGAAAUUUAACUUCUACAGCAAUAUCGAGUCUCCAGUUUUGGUUUCCUAAACUUAAGAAUUGAAUGCCAUCUAAACCACUCUUAAGAUGAGCCAUAAAAAGGGUUAAGUUUCCAAGUCCUGAACUAACAUCAGUCCAGAUUCAUAUUUGUCUUCUGCGAUGGAUAGACCUCAUUUGCUUUCCAUAAGACUUCUAAGCAUAAGGAGAAUUUCAUUUCGCAUAGCACCAACAGCAGAUGGAGUAACCUGCUCAUUCACAGCAGAAAACCAUAGACCAUCUCUGUCCUUGUGGUCAGAGUUUUCAUUCCAGUAGCAUAUCGCCCUUGCAAUUGCUGUAACAUAUAAGCCGCAAUCACAACCAUUCACUUGCUGAGGUGAAUUAGCAAGUUCCAUAUGCUUGGCAUGAGCUGCACCUAUAAAUCCCACAACAGCUUUAUAAAGUUGCAAAGCAUGCCUUUUAUUCAUCCCAGAAUAGCUAUCAUGAUGAACAAAGACAUUAGCAUUUCUCUCAUAUGCAAGUAAGCUCCAAUGUGACCCACCUUCAGCAAGGCUCACAUCAUCAUUGUUAUUGACAGGAAAUAUCACCAAUUUCUUGUCUUGUAAUUUAAGGGGUCCCAGGAAAUCAGUGAGAGACUCAGUAUCUGGGCAGUUUGAAAUCCAGAAAGCAAUUGAGGGUGCAAUCAAUAGGACAUCUUCUGAAGGAUUACUUGAAGAGAGAUAACUGAAGUAGAAUUCAAUGAUUCGAUCAUUAAUAAAAUAUGGACCACUGAGGAUGUCCAGGUCCGAUCGCCUAAGAACAACAUCAUUGUAGCUUAGAAUCUUUUCAUCAGCCACAGAUCUUUCCAUGAGAGCUAACUGAUGAAUAUAGCGAUGGUGAAUGAUGAUUGAGCUAAAAAUAAAAUAAAAAAGCUUUGCUUCCUGUUCUACGCUUGGCUGCUUCUCGUAAUCAGUCCGGACAAAGGAUUACAAGAGAUGGCUGAUGGAUGAAGACCGUGCCUAGAUUCCAGACGCACACAGAGAUAGGCUGCUUGGUGAUGAGGUUAGUCGUGAUUUGCGCCCUCUUACACUCUGUUUGGAUGUGGGCGAAAGAGAGGCGAACAAUGAUAA